GCCCAAUCAAGCCAAAGAAGUCCAAAAGUCCCAAUUUAAGAACUCAACGAGGCCGCAAACUUUAAUACAGUGGCCGCAAGGUUUAAUACCUUUGACACAAACUUUAGUACGUUGGCCGCAAACUUUUACACAUUGGUCGUGAACUUUUGUACUUUGGCCGCGGUUUACGCGCCCUAAUAUAAAGCCAUAGAUACAAGACGUCUUGUCUCUCUCCUUCAACCUUCCCUAUUUCGACCCGUCUCUCUCUCUCUCUCUCUCUCUCUCUCUCUCUCUCUCAUCCGUGUGGAAGAGUGUAUGUUUCACUAGACUAACCAGGAAUCAGGCAAUAGACAGUAGUGAAGUAAGAGAGAAGAAAGUCGAACUUGGAAGAAGAAGAUGAGAGAGAUACCGAAGGUGAAUGCGAUGAGGUCAGGGGUAGUAGUGGUUGGAGCCUUGGCCUUCGGGUACUUGACCCUGCAACUCGGUUUCAGGCCUUACCUCGAGAGAGCUCAAGAAACUCUGGACAAGUCUGCCCACCCAAGUGAUGAGUCCUUCGACAAUGCCCAAAGAAUCUCUGAGUAUUCUCAUAUCCAAGUAAAAGAUAACUAAUACAUCCUCCCUUCAGCCAUCUCUGUGCUACAUGGGUUUUAGCUGUUUGCAUCUCUUACAUUGCUUGUAUUUCUGCUUGUUCCUGACUCUCUUCAAAUUCUAUGAUAAUUGGUGCAGAUUUCACUUGGACUAGGUUUUUUUCUUUUAUUUUGUGUAGUCAGUUUUUGAUUCCCUAGUGUAAUCUGCACUAUAUCAAUUGGAACUUGUUAAUAUUGGACCAUUGGUUGCA